rnacentral:rRNA from 1 species
GAUGAACGCUGGCGGCGUGCCUAAUACAUGCAAGUCGAGCGAAUGGAUUAAGAGCUUGCUCUUAUGAAGUUAGCGGCGGACGGGUGAGUAACACGUGGGUAACCUGCCCAUAAGACUGGGAUAACUCCGGGAAACCGGGGCUAAUACCGGAUAACAUUUUGAACCGCAUGGUUCGAAAUUGAAAGGCGGCUUCGGCUGUCACUUAUGGAUGGACCCGCGUCGCAUUAGCUAGUUGGUGAGGUAACGGCUCACCAAGGCAACGAUGCGUAGCCGACCUGAGAGGGAGAUCGGCCACACUGGGACUGAGACACGGCCCAGACUCCUACGGGAGGCAGCAGUGGGGAAUAUUGCACAAUGGGCGCAAGCCUGAUGCAGCAACGCCGCGUGAGGGAUGACGGCCUUCGGGUUGUAAACCUCUUUUGUUAGGGAAGAACAAGUGCUAGUUGAAUAAGCUGACACCUUGACGGUACCUAACCAGAAAGCCACGGCUAACUACGUGCCAGCAGCCGCCGUAA